AUUGAACGCUGGCGGCAGGCCUAAUACAUGCAAGUCGAACGAGUGGCGGACGGGUGAGUAAUGUCUGGGAAACUGCCCGAUGGAGGGGGAUAACUACCGGAAACGGUAGCUAAUACCGCAUACCAUCGGAUGUGCCCAGACGGGAUUAGCUAGUAGGUUGGGUAACGGCUAACCUAGGCGACGAUCCCUAGCUGGCUUGAGAGGAUGACCAGCCACACUGGAACUGAGACACGGUCCAGACUCCUACGGGAGGCAGCAGUGGGGAAUAUUGCACAAUGGGCGAAAGCCUGAUGCAGCCAUGCCGCGUGUAUGAAGAAGGCCUUCGGGUUGUAAAGUACUUUCAGCGGGGAGGCGUUACUCGCAGAGGAAGCACCGGCUAACUCCGUGCCAGCAGCCGCGGUAAUAC
rnacentral:rRNA from 1 species